UAGCGUAUAUUUAAGUUGUUGCAGUUAAAAAGCUCGUAGUUGGAUUUCGGGUGGGUUCUAGCGGUCCGCCUAUGGUGAGUACUGCUAUGGCCUUCCUUUCUGUCGGGGACGGGCUUCUGGGCUUAAUUGUCCGGGACUCGGAGUCGACGUGGUUACUUUGAGUAAAUUAGAGUGUUCAAAGCAGGCUUACGCCCUGAAUACUUUAGCAUGGAAUAACACGAUAGGACUCUGGCCUAUCUUGUUGGUCUGUAGGACUGGAGUAAUGAUUAAGAGGGACAGUCGGGGGCAUUCGUAUUUCAUUGUCAGAGGUGAAAUUCUUGGAUUUA
rnacentral:rRNA from 1 species